rnacentral:tRNA from 1 species
GGGCUUGUGGUUUAGUGGUAUAAUACUCGCUUAGCAUCACGUCUUCAACUGGUUCAUCCUUUCGAGGACAAGCAUGUGAGUGGUCCGGGGUUCGAUUCCCCGCGAGUCCA